rnacentral:rRNA from 1 species
GAGUUUGAUCGUGGCUCAGGACGAACGCUGGCGGCGUGCCUAAUACAUGCAAGUCGAGCGAAUCGAUAGGAGCUUGCUCCUGUUGGUUAGCGGCGGACGGGUGAGUAACACGUGGGCAACCCGCCUGUAAGACUGGGAUAACUUCGGGAAACCGGAGCUAAUACCGGAUAAUCCUUUUCCUCUCAUGAGGAAAAGCUGAAAGUCGGUUUCGGCUGACACUUACAGAUGGGCCCGCGGCGCAUUAGCUAGUUGGUGAGGUAACGGCUCACCAAGGCGACGAUGCGUAGCCGACCUGAGAGGGUGAUCGGCCACACUGGGACUGAGACACGGCCCAGACUCCUACGGGAGGCAGCA